CAUAGGUUUGGUCCUGGCCUUUUUAUUAGUUAGUAGUAAAUUUACACAUGCAAGCCUCCACAUUCCGGUGAGAAUGCCCUCUAAAUUAAAUUAAUUAAAAGGAGCAGGUAUCAAGCACACAAAUAGUAGCUCACAACACCUUGCUCAACCACACCCCCAAGGGAAACAGCAGUGAUAAAAAUUAAGCAAUAAACGAAAGUUUGACUAAGUUAUACUACAAAAUCUAAGGGUUGGUAAAUAUCGUGCCAGCCACCGCGGUCAUACGAUUAACCCUAAUUAAUAAAACACGGCAUAAAGGGUGUUUAAUUAACACAGCAACUAAAGUUAAAAAUUAAUUAAGUUGUAAAAAACUAAAAUUAAUUAUAAAACCACUGACGAAAGUAACUUUAAUUUUAUUGAACACACGAUAUCUAAGACUCAAACUGGGAUUAGAUACCCCACUAUGCUUAGCCCUAAACCUAGAUAAUUAAUAAAAUAAAAUUAUUCGCCAGAGUACUACGCGCAACUGCCUAAAACUCAAAGGACUUGGCGGUGCUUUAUAUCCACCUAGAGGAGCCUGUUCUAUAAUCGAUAAACCCCGAUCAACCUUACCACCCCUUGCUAAUUCAGUCUAUAUACCGCCAUCUUCAGCAAACCCUAAAAAGGACAAACAGUAAGCAAAAUGAUCAGCAUAAAAACGUUAGGUCAAGGUGUAACCUAUGGGGUGGGAAGAAAUGGGCUACAUUUUCUAUCACAGAACAUGACACGACAGCCAUUAUGAAAACCUAAGGGCCAAAGGAGGAUUUAGUAGUAAAUUAAGAAUAGAGAGCUUAAUUGAAACAGGCUAUGAAGCACGCACACACCGCCCGUCACCCUCCUCAAUAACUACUAACUAUAAUUACAUAAUAACUAAUAAGUGCUCAAGAGGAGAUAAGUCGUAACAAGGUAAGCGUACUGGAAAGUGCGCUUGGAAUAAAAC
rnacentral:ncRNA from 1 species